UGAAGGUUGUUAAUAUAUAAUACAAUCAUCUAGCACCGCACUUGGUCCUUAUCUAUAAAGUCCGUUUGUGAUCAAUGAUUCACAUCACCUUUUGAUUAGUCUCUGAGCACAAACUGUUUCUUAAUAUAAAUUAAUGGCCUUGGAAUUUCUAAAUAAACACACCCUUUUGUUUAGCAUCAUUUCCUAUUUUCUUACCAAAACAGAGUCUUACUGUAAUUGUUCAGUUUUCACAGGAAAAAAAAGUGUUUGUGAGCUGCUGGAAUGUUCUUAAAAACAAGUGGUUCCUUUCAGAGCUGUUGGUGUUGAUUUACAAGGUUUAACCUGCCAUGUUAAUUGAGUAUAACUGGGAGAUAGUACCAUCAUGCAGCUACUACUGUCAGAUAGGCUUUGGUGGAUAAAGUCCAAAAGUGGAGAGAGGGGAGCAGGCUGGAGAGCAGGACGGGGCAGGAGCACCUACAGCAGGAAGGGCUUUUGUCAGGUACUGACACUUACGGACCCCUGUGCAUGUAGCUGGCCACAGAUCGACCACUACUUUUUAGAUCUUUCUUCACAUGUCAUGAUCUACCAAUGCUUCAAUACGGGUGUAAAGUGCUCCAGUGAGCCAAGCAGCUGGGCCAGGAGCAAUUUUGUUUUAUUGUUGUUAAAUGUAUAUUUAUAGGUAGCUGUGAUACCUACAACAACAUUUACACAACAGAUUGAGUACUGUUUAUUUCAGUUGGUUUACUUCUAAAGGCAGCUCCUGCGUGUUUUACAAAUGAGUAAGAAGUUAUUAUAUCAAAAAUCUUUGUAUCAAAGUAUCAAACUCACUCAAAAUCACACAAAGACGUUCACAAAAGCACUCUAUAUCAUGCUCCCUUUGUUGAAUCCUAUUUUUUUGCAUGUCAUGGUGUGUGAUGGCACUAGAUGUAGAUGUCCAAGAUGUUGCUGAUCUACCUGUGUUGUCUGUGCUCUGCUGCAUGGCUGCAGAUGUCCUUUCUUCUAUCCUAUGUCAUGUUCUCAUGAGCCACCGCAACAGGGAAAGUGUUAAUCCAGAUGAAAGCCAGUAGACAUACUGCACUGAUAGCCAUGUUAUUUGGGAAUAAUAGAAUCCUUAGAAAUCUGUUACUGAAAUUCAUAGAAAUUAUUGAAAUCUUGCCCCAAAUUAAGUUUGACAUCAGUAGGUAAAUGUCCUCACCACCUAACUGCUGUUAUUCUUUCCAGGACAUCUAACCAAGUCAACCUAUUUAGUUGACUGACCUUUGCAGUAUGGUACCAUAAGUGUUGGCAACAGUUGAACAUUUCAAGUGCUCCCCGAGGAAAACAAUUUAAUCCCUCACAUCUUUGUGUUGCAAGGAUUGGAUUGAAGAAAGAUGAAGUGAUCAGGCUCGUUUGGUGCAAGAUCAAGGCAGAGAUCAGUCUGCAAGAUGUAUUUCACUCUCAGGAGGACCCAAUUUUCUCCUUUGACUAAGGGCAGAAUCUAGAGAGCAGGGUCAGACAUAUCAGGUGCCAGGAGCUGAGUUCUAGUCUGUGCUGUUUAGGAGAGGGCUGGUGGCCCUUGAACUGCCUACAGUAUGUCUACGGCUCAGCCUCUGGUAAGGGACCACUGCAGCAGGCUGAUAUUUUUCAUUUUCAAUGUAUGCCACUUACAUCAUAUGCAGGAAAUUCAUUCAUCAGUAAUUAAUAUCUUUACUUCAUGUAUGACAGUAACCUGCUCUUAGCUGUGAAGAAAGGAUAGUUGCAAGGAGUCUCCUAAAAAUACCCAGCAUUAACUGCAGUGACAUGACUGGUAAGGAAGGGGAAAAACCCAGAGGAGGUUAUAGUACUGUGAUUUAGUUCAGAACUUUUAAAUUUUCAAUCAGAAAUGGAGUAUGAAUGGCAAAACCUGAACAAACAAGUGUACAAGGUAGAUACCAAACUCAUUAAAUAUGAUAAUUCUUGCUAUUAGUAACUUUAUUUUUGCAUUGUCACUCCACAAUUGAUAAAUUAUCUUCUAAUCUAGUGUCUGUUAAGAUCAGGCUGAAUAGUUACAAUAUCCUUUCAUCUGCAUUUGUGUGACAUCCAGUGGCUGGAUGGGUCAAUCACAGGCACCUCUUAGUAAAGGUGUAAAAACAACUCCAAACACUAAAGAAAUAAAAGUACUGACUAUUAAUGCUAACA
ensembl:lncRNA